rnacentral:rRNA from 1 species
UACGGAGGAUGCGAGCGUUAUCCGGAUUUAUUGGGUUUAAAGGGUGCGCAGGCGGAAUGUCAAGUCAGCGGUAAAAUUUCGGGGCUCAACCCCGUCGUGCCGUUGAAACUGGGGAUCUAGAGUGUGCGAGAGGUAUGCGGAAUGCGUGGUGUAGCGGUGAAAUGCUUAGAGAUCAUACAGAACACCGAUUGCGAAGGCAGCUUACCAAGCUACUUCUGACGUUGAGGCACGAAAGCGUGGGGAGCAAACAGG